UUUACUUUUUAAAUGUUUCUAUCACUAUGUUUCUAUCAUUCUUAAGAUGUACAACAAUAGUAUUUAGAAAAUAAAUAUAUCCAUUACUACAUGCCUGACAGCAUCCAGCACCACGUAGCAUUCUAAGUAGAAGUCUCAGAAGAGAACUGCAAUGGAAAGUGUAUGAGCUGUGUGGUUUGCAGCAUCAGCACCAAACCCAUCCAUCGUCCUGGAACAUGAGGAACAGUCCCUGGACUGACAAAUGAGUAGGCUGGCAAAGCAGAGUGAUCUCAUGUGACCACGACGAGCCUGUGAAGUAGGUCUUAACUAUCUUUGUUUUGUAGCAAGGAAACAGGCACACAGAGUUCAACAGUCAAGGUCACAAGCUAAGCAGCCAAGGUCACAGAGCUAAUCAAUACUGGGGGCAUUGAAUGAGAUCUUCUGGUUCUUCCCCCAGCCUGAUGCCCAUUCACGGAAGCUUCAUUUUCCGCAACCUUAACUUAACAGGACCCACUAUAUUCCUCCUGUAAAGGAGAAACCGUAAUUUAUAUGUCAUAAGUUAAAACAAAUGGCUGGAGAGAUUUUCCCUACAAUUGGAUUGCUCGUUUAUAAAUGCACAAAAUCUUAUAAUUCAACCGAUUUUGAAGAAGGAGAGAGGAGACACCAAUUGCUGGUAGUGGCCAGAGCAGAAAAUGAAAAAUGUCAAGGCCUGACUGAAUGUCUAUUCAUCUUCCCCUCUUUGUCCUGUGGGUGGUCAGCUGCUUCCUAUUUAACUAACAUUUACCUCACGACAACACACUUGCUUUUACACUGAGAGCUAUCACUAUAAAUCUGCUCGAUUGAUCUGUUAAACUAACAAAAUAGAAAUGGACUGCAAGUAGGAAAAUGAGCCCAAGCCCAACAGACUUUGAAAAUAGUAGAGGAGGGGGAUAAGACUCUGUGGCUGUGGAGCCCCACCCAUCCUCCUGGGUAACAGCAGAGCCCACAUCGGGGAACGGUUAUUUCAGACCAUGGCCCACAAGGCGCAGGUGAUAGAUACCUACUGCUGGCUGUUCCCUCCGGGCCCCACAUUCCUCCACCAACCUCGUGAUUCGCACAGGUUCCCGUUCUAAACCCAGGCUGGGCUCUGCACACAUAAUGUGCUCUCUCUCCUGAUCUUUGCUUUUCAGGGGAAGGCAAACAGAAACUGAAAGAUCAGGUCCUGGCUAAGAAAAAGAAGAUUUUCUUUCACUCUGGGCCAAAGGGGAGCACUGCUGAAACAUAAAAAUAAAAAUGAAAAAUGAAAAAUAAAGACAGCACCUUCACCGUCAGGGCCCUUUCAAACAGUAAAAUCUGUCUCUUUAUCCCAGCUCCUGCAGACACCAUCCAGGAGAAUCUGGGCAGAGCAGCACACCGACUCUGUUUGUUUGACUAGGUCUCUGACGGGUGAAGGUGUCACAUGACAGCCGUAUGGACAUCAGUCUCAGCAGCCUGGAAGACAUUUCCCCGACACUUUCAGAGGCCUGACUGAAUCACCAGUUCAAUGUUUUGUUUUGUUUUGUUUUGUUUUAAUCCAACCUGCUCUGAGUCAGGGGUCUUUUUCUUCAAAUUAACUUACUGACAGCACUGAAACCCUGACGGAAGGUUGAAUUUUUUUAAGGUAAAAAGUGAAUCGGAGGACAGUUUGAUAAGAAGGCCCAGAAGCUAUAAAUAUGUGCGUGAGAUCUGGGAGGACGUGGUCAUGCCCUUCCCAGCAAGCACACAGCGGAUUCACGGUGCUGUUUACUGAAGUGCUCUAAAUUUAGAAGAAGCAAGUCGAAUGGAGCCCUGCUCUGUGAGUCAGCCAAGAGCUAUCUGAUCCUCCCUUGCAGGGCCCGGUAGAGAAGAGAACUCUGAGGCCCCCAUGGGGGAAUCACCUCCAGGGGUUAUUCCUGUGACCAAACAUAGCCUUGCUGGUCAGAAAGUUUGCACGGCAGGGGGCUGCUCCUCUGUAUUAGGUCCUUCUAGCAGAGCAGACUCACCCACAGGCUGGAAGAGACAAAGGGUGAUGCUCUUGGGCAGUUCUGGCUGGCUUCCCGGUGCUUCAAACUUAUGGUACAACUGGUUGAAUCUUCUCUAGAGGUGAAGACCAUGAAUGAAUCUUCCAGGCUGGAUGCACAAGGCAUGGGUGACAGCCUGGAAUCCUGAAUCUUGAUCUGGUUUUUAAAACGCUGCAAAGGCCGAUGUGCUUAGAUUUUUAUGUAUAUGAAGUCUUUACAAUUGCAGAAUUGGUAUUUCUUCACCUGUGCUUCAAAAAUAACUUUUUUUAAUUUAAAAACUGCGUGACUCAGCACCUGAUAUUGCCACAUGGUUAAACUAAAUCCGUUUAAGACAAAAAGUGAGCCCAAAGGAGUCCCAGCUCACAGGCUGAGAAUUGUCCCUCUAAGCCCUGCUGUGUCUACCACAUCCCUGAGGCAAACUCUUCAUUUAUCUACCAGGAUUUUGACGAGAGAUCUACGUGUCACUAAUACAGGCAGGCUUCUGGCUGCUGUGCCUGUGGUAGAUGGAUCGAGCUAAGUGAUCGUGGGGUUACUCUCCUGGCACAUCAUUUCUACUCUCCGACAAAAUCCACCCGUCUAAGUUCCUCUCCCUGAAGGCUACAAAACCAGAAAGGCUUGGCUGAAUCUGUUUCGAAACACAAAUCCAGGAUUAGAGAAGAACUCUACUGUUUGGAAUAGUGGUGGACUCGAUUCUUUGGAAUAUCUUGGUGAGUGAAAUGAAGUCACCAGCAAUAUUUUCUCCACACUGGUCACCGUGGGAACCGAAAGCAGUGAAGCCCAGUGGACUGACAACUGAGACGAUGCAGAUGCCACAGUAUGGGGGUCUAGGGGGCCAUCCUAAGAUGGGUAACACUUUGCUCAGAAGCUGGGACACCUACUGCUUCCUGCCCAGAUACAUCCCUAAGUAAGGUGCUCAUUUCAACCCCUGUACACAAUUUAAAUUCUAUACCAUAAUAUAAGGAACGAGAAGCAUGAUUACUGCCUUUUAGAGGCCCCUCUAAAUACCACAGCAGAACCAGCCAGAUAGACAAAUCAUUUCACAAAAGAAACGCAGUAAAUGACAAAUAGGAAAUCAAAAGGGCCCAGGGUCUGACUGGGACAGAGAACACUACCACCAGCCUUUGUGGAUGUGAUUAUGGGUUCUGAUUCCCAUUGUCUAAUCAAGGCUGAAGUGGCCCCUUGGAAGCAGUGCCCAAGCGACACAGCUGAUUUCAAAUGGACUUGUUCCCAACAUGGACUUGGUACAAGUCGUGAGAUCUAAAGUCAGAGUUUGAAACAUAAACCUGUCUCUCUAAAGCCAAGCUUCUCGUUGAACCUAAGGGUUUUCCAUGGGUACCAAGUAAAGCACGGGGCUGGGGACAACCAAAUGUUGGUUGCAAAUAUGGUUAUUUUGCAAAUAUGUUAUUUUCUGAGUGUCGAUGUAUAUUCAUAUACACUGUUUGACAUUCAUUCUAUGCAGGGUUGCAUGGCCAUUAUCCUGAAAUGGGUCUUACAGGUGAUUCAAAUGGUUUUCAAGGAGGAUUUUGGCUCCCCUUACUUUUUGUGUUAAGAUACAUUUCAGUGUCCAGACCAGUGUCCAGCAUGGGACAUACUGAGAAAACAAGAACAUAGAUGUUGUCCAGCACCCAAGUACUGAUCCAGACCUGCUUGUUAAUACAGUGGUAUCUCUUCUGGGAUAAAGACAAGAGAUAAGUGUGUGUAGCCCCGAGCGUGUGAGCUUAGCAACUCAGAACUAGGAGAACGUAUUUCCAAGUUUGUAUUCACAUGGGAAAAUUUAUACGUAUUAGCUUGGAUGCGGAUGGCUUUCCUGUCUGUGUUUCUCUAUGUAGCCAGAAAAACCUUCUGGACUUGUUUCUAUUCCAAGAGGCUGCAUGAAUGGUAAAACAUACAGAUGCCAACUUGAGUCAUAUAGAAGGGAACACGUGUUUUCGGGACAUACUAAAAUAGCACAGUAAAAUCGGGCAGGUGUUUGAUCAGGGAAUACGAAACCGUCUUCUCCAAAGACUCUGGAGGUUUUUUUUACUUGAAUGUUUUCAGCAAAAUAAACGGUUACUAGGAAAACAUGCUGUAAACGUAAGAAGGGUCUGCUGGCUUGAAAUGUGGCUGGCUGAUUUCUCCUUCCUUUGUAAUCCCAUUAAGCUCGGUAGCAAAACUCAGCCCUCCUGGCAGCUCUUCUCACCCGCAGCUGCCGGCAGAAAGUGCUCAGUGCCCAGAGUAAAGUCUUCAUUGGUUAAUGACCCUUGACCUUUCAUAGGUGGUGUCUUCCGUGGCAACACUUAGCUUGGAGGCUCCUACAUGAUAUACAGACUGACCAAGAGACAGCAUGGAAUUUCGUUGGAGUCCAAGGCUGGCGUGAUAAAAGGGAAUUACACACCCAAAGAUGUCUAUUCUGGAUUGACUCAACUGUUGAGUUAAUUUUUUUUUUAUUUAGGAUAUAGUGAUUUCUAAUUUGUACUGAUAACAAUCUAUUAGAGUUCUAACUGAUCUUGGUUGUCCAGACAGAAGGCAAGCAAAAUUUAAAAGAUGAUUUUUGCUACUUUUGGGUCUUGUUUCUAAGAACUUUGAAUGUGGCUUUUAAAACAUCAUUAAUACUGCGUACGGGCUGAAGCAUUUAAUGCCUCAUUUAUAGAUCAUUCUUUCUAUUCAGCUAGCAAAAAUCUCCCUGAAUUUUGGCAGUUUGUCUCCAUUAAUUUCAAAUAAACAUUUUAACCACGGACUCAAUAGCACUGAGUGUGUGCUCGGACCCCACUCUCCAGCCAUUUGCAGGUUAGAUUGUUCCUAAAAUGGGCCAGACCCUUCUCUGGGCGGAAGAGGGAGAAAUGUGAGUGAAAGUGGUGGUGGGGGGAUACUAAUGAAGAAAGAAUGAAAAGUUUUACGUUUAUGAAGCCUUUUAUUGUCCGAAAUGUUGGGGGGGGGGAAACAAGUCAAACAUGAUCCUCCUCCUUGCUCUCACUCUUUAUUUCCCCACCAGGCCCCAGUCUCCCC
rnacentral:sRNA from 1 species